CCGACUCUCGCAACGUGCCCGACUGACCAUCGGAGGGUCCCUGGGUGUUCGCCUGAGGGUCCCUGGGUGUUCGCCCGACAUUCCUCGACCAGGCACCGACGUACAGUCGGUCGACUCCUUCGAACGCCGUACGACUGCUGGAGAUUGUCCAACCUGACAGCGACGUGCGGCGUAGCCAUCCUGGGGCAUUAUCCCGUCCAGGACGUAGGUUAACCCUAGUAAUUUGACAGACCCCACGGCGACUCUGACAGUCUUCGGUAAUUUGACAAUUCUCCCAUUAUCUGCGCCAUUAAUGAUGACGCCAUGCCGCGCCCUACUAUAAAACGGGGAAGGCAACAGUGCUGGAGGAGGUUCCUUUCGAAACUCCUGAACUCUUUCUCUCUAGCUCUCUCUCGCUGAGCUCUUUGAUUCUUUUCUAUUGUUGCCUAGUCUCCUCUCUGACUUGAUCGUCGGAGGGUCUCCGUCGGAGUCACCUCCGGUCGGUGCGGACUUCUUUUGCAGGCGCUCGUUCCUGACGACCAGAUGACGAGGGGAUUGACCG
rnacentral:lncRNA from 1 species